GGCAAGAUGGCCGAGUUGGUUAUGGCGUGAGGUUAAGGUCACCUUAAUACGGGAUAUUUCCUAUAUUCCUCAUGGAGCAAUCCGCGUGGGUUCAAGUCCCACUCUUGUCA